rnacentral:rRNA from 1 species
AGCAGUCGCCGCGGUAAUACGUAGGGUGCGAGCGUUAAUCGGAUUUACUGGGCGUAAAGCGUGCGCAGGCGGCCCGUUAAGACAGGUGUGAAAUCCCUGGGCUCAACCUAGGAAUUGCGCUUGUGACUGGCGGGCUCGAGUACGGUAGAGGGGGGUGGAAUUCCUGGUGUAGCAGUGAAAUGCGUAGAGAUCAGGAGGAACACCGAUGGCGAAGGCAGCCCCCUGGGCCUGUACUGACGCUCAUGCACGAAAGCGUGGGGAGCAAACAGGAUUAGAGACCCGCGUAGUCCCUGUCUCUUAUAC